rnacentral:rRNA from 1 species
UACGUAGGUGACAAGCGUUGUCCGGAUUUACUGGGCGUAAAGAGCGCGCAGGCGGUCGUUCAAGUCGAGUGUGAAAGCCCCCGGCUCAACUGGGGAGGGUCAUUCGAUACUGAUCGACUCGAAGGCAGGAGAGGGAAGUGGAAUUCCCGGUGUAGUGGUGAAAUGCGCAGAUAUCAGGAGGAACACCAGCGGCGAAGGCGGCGCUCUGGGCCGGAACUGACGCUGAGGAGCGAAAGCGUGGGUAGCAAACAGG